rnacentral:lncRNA from 1 species
AAAGGACUCCAAGCCCAUCAAAUCCGGCUGAUCCCCACCUUGUCACCAGCCCAGAGCACUGAGUGCCACACCCAGGCCUUCCUUGGACACCUCCAGAUUCCUCCAGACUCCUGGGCAGCCCCUUCCAAUGUUUAACAUCUCUUUCCUUGAAGAAAUUCUUCCUGAUGUCCAGCCUGACCCUCUCCUGGUACAGCUUGUUUGCUGAGUUUGGGUCAGAGCUUGUGCUUGCAGCCCCAGUUAACCUUUCUGCAAGGAAAAACCCAACCUAAGCAGCAGAAAAUGUCAGGAAAAUUAUGUUAAUUUGCAGAGUGAAUUUUCUUCAGGACCUCAAAGAACAAAAGCACUUCCAAAAGCUCUCAAAGUCAUUUCCACCCAGAACCUCGAGAUUUCCAAGGAUCCUGUCCAAAACUCUGCAGGAUCAAGCUUUGUACCUGCCCUUCCUGGUGCAAGAUGAAGAACUCUGUCUCCACCGAAAACAAAAGAAGGUUCUGUCGCAAGACAAAUUGAAUCAAAUUCUCCAGGAGUUUUCCAGUUCAAUUAAGCUGUGGGAUAGUCCCUAUCUUAGGUGCAAAUCUCUCUGUGCAUUACAGGACCACAGACAGGGAUGUGGCAAAAGAUGAUUAAAUGAAGAUACCUUCAAGUGACCUGGUUUUGAUAGAUGAUAUUAAACCAAGCCUGAAAAUCAGACUCUCCUUGUGGUGGAAAACCUGAGGGAUCAACUAACAAUGAGAUUUCUGCUGUCUUGGUGAUGAACUGUCCUAAGAACUGCAGUUUCAGAGAAUAUGAAGUGACCUUUGAAAACUUCACUGAAAGUUGAUCCAGAUGUUUAAUCUGACCAAGCUGGUUCAUCUCUACAGAUAAAUAAAUUCUCAUUUUUGUUGAAAGUGAAAAUGCA